CUUUUUGACAGUGUCAUGAAGGGGAGGAGCAUAGUCAUUAUCCCAUAAAGGUAUUCCUGACACUAUAGUGUUCCUUUAAGCAAAUUAAAGCAACAUUCUGGUCAUCAUAAAAACUUCAUCUAAAUGAUGCAAGGAGGGCUCUCUUUCCUUUAAGGUGUGAAACCGUUCUCAGAUGGUUUAAUCCAAAAGACUUCCUCCAGCUCCAGAUCUCCAGG